rnacentral:rRNA from 1 species
ACGGGGCGCAGCAGGCGCGAACACUUUACAAUGCGGGAAACCGCGAUAAGGGAACCCCGAGUGCCAGCAUCAAAUGUUGGCUGUCCAGAUGAUUAAAAAUCAUUUGUUAGCAAGGGCCGGGCAAGACCGGUGCCAGCCGCCGCGGUAACACCGGCGGCCCGAGUGGUAGCCGUUUUUAUUGGGUCUAAAGGGUCCGUAGCCGGCCUGAUAAGUCCUUUGGGAAAUCUGGCAGCUUAACUGUCAGGCUUCUAAGGGAUACUGUCAGGCUUGGGACCGGAAGAGGUAAGGGGUACUCCAGGGGUAGGAGUGAAAUCUUGUAAUCCCUGGGGGACCAUCUGUGGCGAAGGCGCCUUACCAGAACGGGUCCGACGGUGAGGGACGAAAGCUAGGGGAGCAAACCGGAUUAGAUACCCGGGUAGUCCUAGCUGUAAACGAUGCUCGCUAGGUGUCAGACACGGUGCGACCGUGUUUGGUGCCGCAGGGAAGCCGUUAAGCGAGCCACCUGGAAGUACGUCGCAAGGC